UACGAAGGGUGCAAGCGUUACUCGGAAUUACUGGGCGUAAAGCGUGCGUAGGUGGUGAGUUAAGUCUGAUGUGAAAUCCCCGGGCUCAACCUGGGAAUGGCAUUGGAUACUGGCUCGCUCGAGUGCGGUAGAGGGUGGUGGAAUUCCCGGUGUAGCAGUGAAAUGCGUAGAGAUCGGGAGGAACAUCUGUGGCGAAAGCGGCUCACUGGACCAUUACUGACGCUGAUGCUCGAAAGCUAGGGGAGCAAACAGG
rnacentral:rRNA from 1 species